rnacentral:tRNA from 1 species
GCAUUGGUGGUUCAGUGGCAGAAUUCUCGUCCACCAUGCAAGAGACUCAGGUUCGAUUUCUGGCCAAUGCA